CCCUUAGAUGUUCUGGGCAGCACGCGCGCUACAAUGGUCUUCGCAAACGGAUGCAUUCUCGAAGGAGGAUGCCAAUCUUGGAAUCUAUGCCUUGGUCGGGACAGUUGCUUGCAAUUUUUCGACUCGAACCAGGAAUUCCUUGUAAUCGUGAUUCAUCACAUCACGAUGAAUACGUCCCUGCCCUUUGUACACACCGCCCGUCGCUCCUACCGAUCGAAGAGUUAGGUGAAUUGUUUUGAUCGAUAAGAUUUGACUAUGGUCAACUCUCGUUGUGAAAUUCUGUGAAUCUGACUGUUUAGAGGAAGGAAAAGUCGUAAC
rnacentral:rRNA from 1 species